AGGCAAUCUCAGCACAUCUGAGGGGCAGAGCUCAGCUUGAUGACUGGAGUCAGAGUGUACUAUUAAAGUAAUUUGUUGUCCAGGAACCUUAAUAUUUAUGCAGGUAUAGCCCUGAUCUGGAUUCUUGGUCUUGGGAGAAUUAUAGUAAGUGAAGUAUCAGCUGUGCCUCACAUGCUCCAAACAUCUCAGCUGAAGGACGAUCAGCUAGAUUGAAGAUUCAGUAUUCAUCAGAGCCUACUGGAUAUGCAAGAAAUAAAAUCCCACACGGCAGUUCCUUGAACAGCGACAAGAUCCCACUGUCAGUUCACCUGCCCCAGGACACACCAAUUGCCAUAGUAAAAACUUCCAUUCAUAGCUCAAGGCACCACAAUUUCCAAAGACUCUGAUAUGAAGCUUUAAACAAAGAUAAAUCAAUUUGUUUCCCAUUCAUCUUUGGUAAACCUCUAACUACUCAUGUAUUUGUUGACAAUUUCCAUUGAGGCACACAGAAGCUUCCCUGUUUCUUCAUACAAAAUGCAAGACUCUAGCCAGAGCUUGGAUUUUUUUCUGAAAAAUGUGGUGUGCAAAAUGAUGACAGAUCUGCCUUCCCACACUUC